GGGGAUUUAGCUCAGCGGUAGAGCGUUUGCCUAGCAAGCGCAAGGCCCUGGGUUCGGUCCCCAGCUCCG
rnacentral:tRNA from 1 species